rnacentral:rRNA from 1 species
UACGGAGGGUGCGAGCGUUGUCCGGAAUCACUGGGCGUAAAGGGCGCGUAGGUGGCCUGUGGAAGUCUGCGGUGAAAGCCCGGCGCUCAACGCCGGGUCGGCCGUGGAUACUCUCGGGCUUGAGCUUACUAGAGGCAGAUGGAAUUCCGGGUGUAGCGGUGGAAUGCGUAGAGAUCCGGAAGAACACCGGUGGCGAAGGCGGUCUGCUGGGGUAAUGCUGACACUGAUGCGCGAAAGCGUGGGGAGCAAACAGG